UGAGCCGCUUAUCCUCACAAAGGUGAUGGGAGUGCUAGAGCCAAUCCCAUCUGUCAUCAGGCAGGGUACAUCCUGAACUGGUUGCUAAGGAUGGGGGUGAAUUUGCAAAUUCUACAGGCGAGGCCAGGAUUCGAACCCCUUCCUAAGAACUGUGAGGCCAAUGCUCUAGCCAGUUGCUCCGCCGUGCCGCGAGGUCUACACACAUUUCUGGGAUCCUUUACUAAUCAAAGGCACGUGGACGUAACCCCCACCCACGCGACACGCGCCCCCUGAGAGGUGGUCUUUGGUGCCGUGGCGUCGCGCUCCCACGGCGGCGCUUGCACUUGAAAGGGUUUCGCACGUACGCGUGGACGUUGCGGAGCUCCAGCACGUGGCACGAAAGCAGAUGGCACGCGUGGAUUUUUACAAGUGGGAACGCAAACUUGUGAAAUGGUCCCGCGCGCGCACUGAGGCGGACUAAUUGCCAUUUGUCUGUUAGUCAUUAUUGGUUGGUAUGCACUGCGGAAAUUAACUUCAAAUUAUUUUGUUAAAUAUUGUUACAUUCACAGUAUUUGGAAAAGUUGACGUUGUAGGAAUUCUAUUUAAUUUCCUGUGAUUAUCUCAUUCAUUUUGCUGUAGUGUGGUUGCGCAAAUUAUGUUCAAUUUGAAUUUGACGUCAAAAAUAAUAAUCGGAGAUGAAUGGGCCGCGUGAGCGUGCGUCGGACUUGAGGCCGCUGAAGGCCGGGGAACAUUUUCAGUUAGCCUGCAUGGACAAACAUGGACUUUUCUAUCCUAUCGAGUACUAAGACAACUUUCAUAAAAUAAGCGGAUUUAUUCCACUAAAUUUUGAGAUAAUUGGCGGCAGCUAAAUUCAUGUAGUAGAAAAUACAAAAGUAAAAACUCUCGCGGU